rnacentral:rRNA from 1 species
GGACGAACGCUGGCGGCGUGCCUAAUACAUGCAAGUCGAACGCUCCACCGGUGCUGCACCGGGAAAGAAGAGUGGCGGACGGGUGAGUAACACGUGGGUAACCUACCUACAAGCGGGGGAUAACAUCGGAACGGAUGCUAAUACCGCAUAGAUCUUUUUGUCUCCUGGCAGAAAGAAGAAAGACGGUUUCGGCUGUCACUUGUAGAUGGACCCGCGGCGCAUUAGUUAGUUGGUGAGGUAAUGGCUCACCAAGACGAUGAUGCGUAGCCGACCUGAGAGGGUGAUCGGCCACACUGGGACUGAGACACGGCCCAGACUCCUACGGGAGGCAGCAGUAGGGAAUCUUCCGCAAUGGACGAAAGUCUGACGGAGCAACGCCGCGUGAGUGAAGAAGGGUUUCCUCGGAUCGUAAAACUCUGUUGUUAGAGAAGAACAAGGAUGAGAGUAACUGCUCGCCCCUUGACGGUAUCUAACCAGAAAGCCAUGGCUAACUACGUGCCAGCAGCCGC